rnacentral:rRNA from 1 species
AAAAGUUCUUUUUCACCUUUCCCUCACGGUACUUGUUAAAUAACGGAUUAUGUUAAAUUUGUUAAUAAUUGAGGAUCUACCCUCAAGCCUAUAAAUUUUUAAUAACCGAUAGUGAACAAGUACCGUGAGGGAAAGGUGAAAAAGAACUUUUUUAGAGUGUAAAAGAAUCUAAAAUAUAACGCCUCCAAUCAAUUGGCGCUUUCCGAAAGGUAAAAGUUACAGUGUACCUUUUGCAUAAUGGGCCAGUGAUUUUUUAUUUACGGCAAGUUUAAUUAAAAUUAGUAUGCGCAAAAAAAUUGAUUUCGAAUCAAGAAAUAUAUAAAGUCGUAAAUAAAAGACCCGAAGCUGAGUGAUCUAACCAUGAACAGGUUGAAAAAAUUGUGGAAACACGUUUUGGAGGACCGAACCCGUGUCUGUAGAAAAAUACUGGGAUGAUUUGUGGUUAGGAGUGAAAGGCUAAUCAAACUCAGGUAUAGCUGGUUUUCUGCGAAAUAUAUUUUAGUAUAGCCUGCAAAUUGUAGCUAGAGUAGGGUAGAGCACUUUUGAAGCAAGGGGGAUCUCGGAUCUUACUAAGUUUUGAAAAACUUCGAAUAUGCUCUAGUAUUUUGUGGAGUCAGACAAUAGGUGCGAAGGUCUAUUGUCAAGAGGGAAACAGCCCAGACUAUUUGAUAAGGUCUUCAAUUGUAGGUUAAGUGAUAAGAAUGUUUAAAGAUUUUGACAAUUAUAAAGUAGGCUUGGAAGCAGCCAUCUUUUUGAGAAAGCGUAACAGCUCAUUAAUCUAGUCUUUUUGCUUCGAAAAUGUAUAGAGGCUAAACCUACAACCGAAUCAGUAGAUAAUUUGGUAGCAGAACAUUCGGUAAGUCGUUAAAGAUACUUUGUAAAAAGUAUUGAAGAUAUCCGAAGAGAGUAUACUGGCAUUAGUAGCAUGAAACAGUGUUUAAUCACUGUCGCCGUAAAUCUAAGGUUUUCGUUACUACAUUUAAUGAUGACGAAAAAAGUUUAACCGGUCCCUAAGACAAAUUACAAAAGUAUAAGUUGAUGGGAUUUUUUAAUGUGACAAAAUGAAAAAAAUAUUAGUAAUUUAACGAUUUAUUACGGUAUUCUAUUGUUUUCUGGAAACAGCAUUAAAAUAAACGACCGUACCUUAAACCGACACAGGUAGAUGGGUAGAAUAUACUAAGGCGUUCAAGAUAAGUAUGUUGAAGGAACUCGGCAAAUUUGCUCUGUAACUUCGGAAGAAGGAGUGACGUAUUAAGGGAAACCUAUAUGCGUUGGCACUAAAGAGGGAGUAACAACUGUUUAACAAAAACACAGGUCUUUGCUAAUUUGAGAAAAGAUGUAUAAAGACUGACACCUGCCCGGUGCUGUAAGGUUACGUAGAGAUGCUAAGGCAUCAAAAUCAAGCUCCAGUAAACGGCGGCUGUAACUCUGACGGUCCAAAGGUAGCGAAAUUCCUUGUCGGGUAAGUUCCGAGAUCGGAAGAGCGUCGUGUAGGGAAAGAGUGUAGAUCUCGGUGGUC